rnacentral:lncRNA from 1 species
UUUUUUUUUUUUUUUUUAGUUCUCUAAUAAAAUCAAUGUUAAUCAAAAGCGUCAUCUUAUUUUAAAUUUUCAAAAAGGCAAUUUCAGUGAUUUAAGGUAGAAACAUAGCUUUAGGGUCUCGUUUCCCAUUUCUAUUUAUAAUCAUACUUGCUUCUCAAAUUCUCUCUAAAUGGGUAUACCAAAGACAGUUUAUAAAAGAUCUGCACUGUAGCAGAUGAGCAGCAUACCCAUAUCUACAUUUCUUUGGGGUUCACUGAGGAAAUCAGAGGAAUGAAAGGACAUAGAAAUACUUCUUACUACAGCCAACUUAUUCCAUUAAUUAGUUUGAGGGUUUAUUUCCAUUAUGAUAAUCUUAUUGAAGAAUUUUUAAAAAGGGGAAGUGCUAGUAUUGUUUUAAUGAGACACUCUGUAUUAAUUAAAUACUGUGAGCAACCCUUUUUCAACCUCCAUAAUAUAAGGGUAUGUCUUAAGCAGAGAAUCCAGUAUUAAAAUUUGACAACAAAUCUGUGUUCUUAUUGUCAAGAGUCAGAAAUCAAUCAGGCUUUUGUAUGACUUAUUGCAUGCUUCAAUUUUCUAUUUUGAGAUGCUUGGAGACAUUAAGAAAUUUGUCCAAGGUCACACAGGUAGGAAAUAUUAUACCUUGAAUGGCUCACUCAAAAAUUUUUCCCAUGUCUAUGAAAACCAUAGAAAAAUGUGAAGGUCAUCUUCUCAAAUAAUGCUACGACAUUCAUUUCACCUACAAUACUAUAAUAAUAUAAUUCAUGGAGAUAAAUAACAGAUGAUUAUCAUUUCAUAUAAUAAGUGAAACUUGCAAUUAACUGAUAAAUUAAUAAUAAAUAAUUGAUAAAUAACUGAAAAAUUUAAACCCACAUGACAAAAUAUUACAACUAAGUAGAAAAAAAGUAAAUAUAAUAUUGGUUUAAUGCUAUGGUAAGUUAGAUCAAUACUUUUUCUCCCUAAGAUCAUAUAUAUAUCAUAAAUAUUUGAUAAAUUUACCUAUAAUUUAUUGAAAUUGUUUUACAGCAUAUCUCAAAAUGCUAAUUUAAUAAAUUUUGGUUUAGAAUAAUAAAAUUAUAGUACUGAGGGAAAGAUUAAGAUUCUGUUUAGUUAUUUUGUGGAUCAGAAAACUGGAACUCCCAGAGAAUCAGAGGUAUUCCCCAUAUCUGAUAGUAGUUAGGUUAAAAGAGGCCUGGGAUCCAAUUUUUUGCCUGCUGGUUCAUAUUCUUUCCUUGGUUUCUCACAAAUGCCCCAUCAUUUUUCAUUUAUCAGACAGGAAUCUGAAUGCAUUACUCAGGAUUAAUUGACUUUUUUGCGAACAAUUCCUCUGUAGCAAGCAAUGCUAUUUAACAGCAUUUUUACAGUAAAACUUCUUUCAAAAUUAGGAGUCAAUUCUCUGAAACCCUGCUGCUGCUUUAUUAACCAAGUAUAUGUAAACCCCUUGUUAUCAUUGUAACAGUCUAUACAACAUCUUUACCAGGGGUAGUUUCUAUUUCAAGAAACCUCUUUCUUUGUUCAUCCAUAAGAAGCAACUCAUCAUCUGUUAGUUUUAUCAUGAGAUGGUAGCAAUUCAGUCACAUCUUCAGCUUUCACUUCUAAUUCUAGUUCUCUUGCUGUUUCCACUUCAUCUGUAGUUACUUCCUCCACUGAACCCCUCAAAGUCAUCCAUGAGGGUUGGAAUCCACUUCUUCCAAACUCUGUUAAUGUUGAUAUUUUGAGCUCUUCCCAUGAAUCACAAAUGUUCUUAAAGGUAUCUAGAGUGGUGAAUCUUUUCCAGAAAGUUUUCAGUUUACUUUGCCCAGAUCCAUCAGAGGAAUCACUAUCUAUGGUAGCUAGAGCCUUAUGAAAUGUACUCCUUCAAUAGUACUCCUUGACCCAUGGGCUGCAGAAUGGAUGUUGUGUUUGCAGAAACAAAAAUAACAUUAAUUUCAUAGUAAAUCUUCAUCAGAGCUCUUGGGUGACUAGGAGCAGUUUUAAUGAGCAGUAAUAUUUUGAAAAGAAUCUUUUUUUCUGAGUAGUAGAUCUCAAUAGUGGACUUAAAAUAUUCAGUAAUCUAUGAUGUAAACAAAUAUGCUGUCAUCCAGGCUUUGUUGUUCCAUUUAUAGAGCAGAGGCAGAGUAGAUUUAUCAUAAUUCAAAAGGGCCAUAGGAUUCUGGAAUGGUCAAUGAAUAUUGGCUUCAACUUAAAGUCACCAGCUGUACUGGCCCCUAAUAAGAGAGUCAGCCUGUCUUUUGAAGCUUUGAGGUCAGGCAUUGACUUCUCUCUAGCUAUGAAAGUCCUAGAUAGCAUCUUCUUCCAGUAGAAGGCUAUUUUAUCUACAAUGAAAAUUAACUCUUUAGUGAAGCCUCUCUCAUUAAUUAUCCUAGCUAGAUCUUAUGGAUAACUUGCUGCAGCUUCUCCAUCAGUACUUGCUGUUUUAUCUUGCAUUUCUAUGUUACGGACUUGGCUUCUUUCCUUAAACCUCAGAAACCAAUCUCUGAUAACUUUGACAUUUUCUUCUUUGCCUCUCUCAGCCUUCAUGGAAUUGAGAAGAGUUAAGACCUUGCUCUCAAUUAGGCCUUGACUUAAGGGAAUGUUAUAGAUGUUUUGUUUUUUAAGAUUUUAUUUAUUUAUUCAUGAGAGACACACACAGAGAGAGGCAGAGACACAGGCAGAGAGAGAAGCAGGCUCCAUGCAGGGAGCCCAAUGUGGGACUUGAUCCCAGGACUUCAGGAUCACACCCUGGGCCAAAGGCAGGUGCUAAACUGCUGAGCCACCCAGGCAUCCUAUUAUAGCUGUUUUGAUCUUCAAAACAGACCAGACCACUCAAACUUGAUCUAUAUCAGCAAAAAGGCUGUUUUGCUUUCUUAUCGUUCAUGUGUUCACUUGGAGUAGCACUUUUAAUUUCCCUCCAAAGACUUUUUCUUUGCAUUCACAACUUGGCUAACUGCUACCUCAGCUUUUGACGUACCUGCCUUACUAAGUUUAAUCAUUUCUAGCUUUUGAUUUAAAGUGAGAGACAUACGACUCUUCCUUUUACUUGAACACCUUAAGGUCAUCAUAGGGUGACUAAUUGGCCUAAUUUCAAUAUUGCUGUUUUUCGGGGAAUACAGAGGAACAAGGAAAGGGAGAGAGACAGGGGAAUGGCCAGUUGGUGGAGUAGUCAGAACACAAAUAACAUUUAUUGAUAAGUUCACCGUCUUACAUAAGCAUGGUUCGUCUUACAUAAGCAUGGUUCGUGGUGCCCCCAAACAAUUACAAUAGUAACACCAAAGAUCACUGAUCACAAAUCACCAUGACAAAUAUACUAAUAAAGAUUGUUAGAAUUGUCAAAAUGUAACACAGAGACAUGAAGUGAACAAAUGCUCUUGGAAAAAUGGUGCUGAUGGACUUGGUCAAUGCAGGGUUGCCACAAACCUUCAAUUUGUAAACAACACAGUACCUAUGAAGUGCAAUAGAGCAAAGUACAAUAAUAUAAUGUAUGACUAUUGUCCAUUUUCAUAAUUUAAUUUAUGUCCAUCUUCAAAGUUCUCACAUAAGUUGUUCAGUCUAUACUGGUCUUUGAUGGUUUAUGAGAAUCUCCAGAACUUUAAAUCAAACUCAAUAUAUUAUUCAGGCAUUGCUUGCUCACCAUAAAAACGCUCUGUGCUAGACACCAAGGUUGGAAAGAUGAAGAAGACACAGCCAAGGGAACUCAGCAGAGAAUGAGAUGAGGAGAAGUGAGACAGAAGUCUCAGAGGGAUGUGGUCUGCACAGGGACGUGGUAUAGGAGAACACUGAGGAGUGUAUCUAUGCCAGCCCUGGUAACUCAGGGAAGACUCAUUGUAGGAAAUAACCCUUGAUCUGAGUUCUGAAGUAUGAAGGGGGAUUAACUAAGCCAGUGAGAUAGAUGGUGAGUGUUUUGGUGAGAGAGAAUAUCAUUAGAAAAGGCCAGAGACAUGGAAGCACAGGUGUAGUUGGGGAAGCACCGAAAUUUAGCAAGGCUAGGGUCCCGAGUGCUUAUGGGAAAGUUGUAAAGUAGGCCCUACAAGUUGUAUCUUAUUCUGGAGGCCGGUAUUUUUGCACUUCAAUAUGCACUAAAUUCACUUGCAGAGUGUUAAAGUGAAAAUUCCAGGCUUUACUUUCGUGGAGGGCUGCAGCAGGGCCAGGAAUCUGGAUUUGAAAUAAGUAUUGUAGAUAGCGGUUCUAGAGAAGAUUGCAUUUGGAAAAACACUGUUUGAGAUGGUGGCGCACUUUAAAAGGACUUUAAAUAGAAGAGUGAUCCAAUCAAAUCAGUGCUGUAGCAAAGACAGUGGGAGGAUACAUAUGACCCUGGUAGCAAAAGGACUAGUUGAUGGGUUGCACGGUGACUCUUUAGGUAAAAGUGAUAAAGUGAUCUAAGUUGGUAGCUGUGAGGGGAUCCCUGGGUGGCGCAGCGGUUUAGCGCCUGCCUUUGGCCCAGGGCGCGAUCCUGGAGACCUGGGAUUGAAUCCCACUUCGGGUUCCCGGCAUGGAGCCUGCUUCUCCCUCUGC